AGCCUGAUGCGCCAUGCCGCGUGUAUGAAGAAGGCCUUCGGGUUGUAAAGUACUUUCAGUUGUGAGGAAGGGGGUGUCGUUAAUAGCGGCAUCUCUUGACGUUAGCAACAGAAGAAGCACCGGCUAACUCCGUGCCAGCAGCCGCGGUAAUACGGAGGGUGCGAGCGUUAAUCGGAAUUACUGGGCGUAAAGCGCAUGCAGGUGGUUCAUUAAGUCAGAUGUGAAAGCCCGGGGCUCAACCUCGGAACUGCAUUUGAAACUGGUGAACUAGAGUACUGUAGAGGGGGGUAGAAUUUCAGGUGUAGCGGUGAAAUGCGUAGAGAUCUGAAGGAAUACCAGUGGCGAAGGCGGCCCCCUGGACAGAUACUGACACUCAGAUGCGAAAGCGUGGGGAGCAAACAGGAUUAGAUACCCUGGUAGUCCACGCCGUAAACGAUGUCUACUUGGAGGUUGUGGCCUUGAGCCGUGGCUUUCGGAGCUAACGCGUUAAGUAGACCGCCUGGGGAGUACGGUCGCAAGAUUAAAACUCAAAUGAAUUGACGGGGGCCCGCACAAGCGGUGGAGCAUGUGGUUUAAUUCGAUGCAACGCGAAGAACCUUACCUACUCUUGACAUCCAGAGAAGCCAGCGGAGACGCAGGUGUGCCUUCGGGAGCUCUGAGACAGGUGCUGCAUGGCUGUCGUCAGCUCGUGUUGUGAAAUGUUGGGUUAAGUCCCGCAACGAGCGCAACCCUUAUCCUUGUUUGCCAGCGAGUAAUGUCGGGAACUCCAGGGAGACUGCCGGUGAUAAACCGGAGGAAGGUGGGGACGACGUCAAGUCAUCAUGGCCCUUACGAGUAGGGCUACACACGUGCUACAAUGGCGCAUACAGAGGGCGGCGAACUUGCGAGAGUGAGCGAAUCCCAAAAAGUGCGUCGUAGUCCGGAUUGGAGUCUGCAACUCGACUCCAUGAAGUCGGAAUCGCUAGUAAUCGUAGAUCAGAAUGCUACGGUGAAUACGUUCCCGGGCCUUGUACACACCGCCCGUCACACCAUGGGAGUGGGCUGCAAAAGAAGUGGGUAGUUUAACCUUCCGGAGGACGCUCACCCUUUGUGGUCAUGACUGGG
rnacentral:rRNA from 1 species